GCCUCCUGAACAGCUCAGUUGGUUAGAGCGUGGCGCUGAUAUCUCCAGGGCUGCAGGUUCAAUCCCUGUAUGGGGCA